CACGAGACAAACUUCAAACCCUCGCACGGACACUUAACAACUAUACUGUAGUGUCUGCCCGUAACAGUCGAUUUAAAAAAGAUAACUUACUAAGUGGUGUAUACGGAUACGUGUGCAUUUCAUUAUCUUAAUUAGUGAAGGCUGUUAAAAGCGAGUCGCAUCAAUAGAUUUUAACAUUAGAAGAGACUACAUAUUUUAUUUAUUUAAUAAGCAUUUAUUUAUAUCUAGCAUCUGAUAGUUAAUAAUCUGUCAAGAAGCUGCCAGGUUCGGUUUAAUAAGUGUUCGUCGUUGGAUUAUUUUUCUAACAUUAGACCGGUAUGGGUGGUGGCGAUGGUUCCGGAAGUGGCGGCCCGCGGUUUCUCUGGGGCGUGCUGUGGUUCCUGUGUAUCUGGUUCCUAGCCUGGCCCAUCGCCUUCUUCUGCGCCUGGGUCUACAUAUUGCUACUUCCGUUCAGUGUCUGCAUAGACUGUCUUAAGGGGGCGUGUCAAUUUCUGCAGAAGUGUGUCCAGCUGCCCUUGACAUGCGCAGAGAAUAUGGUCAGCAUGAAGUCCAUGUGCUAAACUAGAGGGGGCAGGGCCAGGAGACAAUGGGGCGUGGCUCAGACUUUGAAGAUGGGCAUGGAAUUCGCUGUGACUUGGUGAAACUGAUCGUGUAUGUGCAGUACCGUGGGAAUAUGACAAUGCGAUUGUCGUAGAAAAUAUGUCAAACCUCGUUACCAAGCAGGCACUCCUAUGCAUGCACGCACGCUCAGGUGUUAUUAAUGCGCGUGCAUUUUAAAUUGACUAUAUAACUGUUUGAUUUCAUAGCUUGAAAACGACACCGCCGAAGUUUUUUUAAGCCAGAAAACCAAAGGACUUAAUAGUAGCACAAGAUCAUUAUUAAUAUAUAGUUGUAAAUGAUUUAAUGUCACGAUUUUCGUUUUUGUUACAUGUGCAUGCCGUGCUAAUCUGUAGUGAUGAAUCGAUUUCGUUAGUGGUUUCAAAUAUGUUGUUAACUUCUUUAUUGUUCUUGUUUUCUUUCAUGUAUGAAUGCAUGUAUAUAGUUAAUCAUUGAAUACUGAACAAUUUUCAGUCGUUCGUAUCAUUACAUGUUUUAAUCUGUAUAUAGUAAAAUAUGUUUUCUAUGCUGUAUCAUGGAUGUAAUAAUAUUUUAUCGUAGAAAUGAAUUUUUUAAACAUA